AGAGUUUGAUCCUGGCUCAGAAUGAACGCUGGCGGCGUGCUUAACACAUGCAAGUCGCACGAGAAUUCUUCUGCUUGCAGAAGAUAGUAAAGUGGCGCACGGGUGAGUAAUGCGUGGGCAAUCUUCCCUUGAAUCGGGGAUAACAUCGCGAAAGCUUUGCUAAUACCGGAUGACAUCCAUUUGUCUGCGGGCGAAUGGAUCAAAGGUGGCCUCUACAUGUAAGCUACUGUUUGAGGAUGAGCCUGCGUACCAUUAGCUAGUUGGUGGGGUAACGGCCCACCAAGGCGACGAUGGUUAGCUGGUCUGAGAGGAUGAUCAGCCACACUGGAACUGACACACGGUCCAGACUCCUACGGGAGGCAGCAGUGAGGAAUUUUGCGCAAUGGGGGAAACCCUGACGCAGCAACGCCGCGUGAGUGAUGAAGGCCUUCGGGUCGUAAAGCUCUGUCAAGUGGGAAGAACCUGCAGAAAGCUAACAUCUUUUUGCACUGACGGUACCACUGAAGGAAGCACCGGCUAACUCCGUGCCAGCAGCCGCGGUAAUACGGAGGGUGCAAGCGUUAUUCGAAAUUAUUGGGCGUAAAGGGCGCGUAGGCGGCCGUUUAAGUCAGGUGUGAAAGCCCGGGGCUUAACCCCGGAAGUGCAUUUGAUACUGAGCGGCUUGAGUAUGGGAGAGGGAAGUGGAAUUCCUGGUGUAGAGGUGAAAUUCGUAGAUAUCAGGAGGAACACCGGUGGCGAAGGCGACUUCCUGGACCAAUACUGACGCUGAGGCGCGAAGGCGUGGGGAUCAAACAGGAUUAGAUACCCUGGUAGUCCACGCAGUAAACGGUGAUCACUAGGUGUAGCGGGUAUUGACCCCUGCUGUGCCGCAGCUAACGCAUUAAGUGAUCCGCCUGGGGAGUACGAUCGCAAGGUUAAAACUCAAAUGAAUUGACGG
rnacentral:rRNA from 1 species